UACGGAGGGUGAGAGCGUUAAUCGGAAUUACUGGGCGUAAAGCGCGAGUAGGCGGUUCGAUAAGUCAGAUGUGAAAUCCCCGGGCUCAACCUGGGAAUGGCAUUUGAUACUGUCAGACUGGAGUGUGGUAGAGGGAAGUGGAAUUCCGCAUGUAGCGGUGAAAUGCGUAGAUAUGCGGAGGAACACCAGUGGCGAAAGCGGCUUCCUGGACCAACACUGACGCUGAGGUGCGAAAGCGUGGGGAGCAAACAGG
rnacentral:rRNA from 1 species